rnacentral:rRNA from 1 species
GACGAACGCUGGCGGCGUGCUUAACACAUGCAAGUCGAACGAUGAAGCCGGAGCUUGCUCUGGUGAAUUAGUGGCGAACGGGUGAGUAACACGUGAGUAACCUGCCCUUGACUCUGGGAUAACUGCGGGAAACUGUAGCUAAUACCGGAUACGACCCUCGGAGGCAUCUCCUGGGGGUGGAAAGAAUUUCGGUCAAGGAUGGACUCGCGGCCUAUCAGCUAGUUGGUGAGGUAAAGGCUCACCAAGGCGACGACGGGUAGCCGGCCUGAGAGGGUGACCGGCCACACUGGGAAUGAGACACGGCCCAGACUCCUACGGGAGGCAGCAGUGGGGAAUAUUGCACAAUGGGAGCAAGCCUGAUGCAGCAACGCCGCGUGAGGGAUGACGGCCUUCGGGUUGUAAACCUCUUUUAGCAGGGAAGAAGCGAAAGUGACGGUACCUGCAGAAAAAGCACCGGCUAACUACGUGCCAGCAGCCGCAGUAA